CCUGCUGAAAAAGGACAGGCUCUAGAGACACAGACAAAGCAGACAGUUCGGGGAAACGGGCCAUCACAGUUGGGACUUUGGGCUUAAUCAGCAGCAACUCUCUGAAGCCACAAGUAGCAAAGAAACUUUCCUGUACAGUAUUUGAAAGGUCAUCCCGUCCGAGUGUGAAGGGAAGAUAAAAUCCACAAGAAGGGAGAUCAGGGAGAUGGAGCCGGAUCUUCCCGAGUUGCUCCUUUUGUCCGAGAAAAGCAGCUGGUGAAGGAAUUUCCCGAAUCUGAGCUGCUUCCGCU